UUUGCUUGUAAAAUAACUGGCUUUCAUAUGAUUAAAGUUAACAACUCUGGUGUGACCUCAUAUUUACUAUACUUCUGCCAAAUGCCAGGUGAGCCUAUAGACUGUCUUGUUCAUUACACAUAGCAACACUGUGAGCUAAAUAUCAUUAUUCCCACUUUCUACAUAAGGUAUUGAAUACUUGGAGAAUUGCAGGGUUUGUCCAAGGGCCCAGAACUAAUUUGUGUCAAAUCUAAAAUUUGAACCCAGUUUAAAUUCUUCAUACCCAUUACAUAGUACCUUUCUAAUCAAGAGAUGAAAGAUAUAAACAAAUAAUGACUGUUAUUCUACAGUGUGACCUUUGGGGGAAAAACUCACAACCACAGGAUUCCCACGGUUAAUUGAGUGGGAAUUUUCUGUGAAGCCUUAAUUAACCUUUUGUGUAUGGGUAUCAAAAGUCAACUGAAAUGGAACUAUAGUCAUUUUCAGUUUCCAUUGUUCUGGUACCAGUCCCCCAAAACUAGAAUGUUUUCUCUAGGAAUAUAUAGAAGGUAAGUUAUGGAAACCUUUCUUCAGAGCCCUAGACAUCACUGGUCCUAGCUCAGGCUGCUCUCUUUCACACCUGAACUCACUUUGGGGGACAGAACCCAUUUUCAGAAGCAGUAACAUGUUAGUAGCAGAAGCAGAAACUAUAAUGGCAUUGAAGUCAUCCCAGAGAAAAUGUGCUCAGCAGCUUUCUGGUAGCAUGCAAAUGCAGUACCUCAAUUCUUUAUUUCUAUGCCUUGCUGGGAAUGUAACUGAGCAGGGCACAAAAGCCUUUCUGUGUGCUUCAUUUCUUGUUUUUAGGAAAUGGGCCUCAUUCAUCCUUCAUGAAAUUCCCUGAGUUCCUAGAAGGAAGGGAGAAGCAAAGACAAGGGGGGAACAGUCAAGAAAGAGCAGUGCAGGCUUGGGAGCAGGAUCCUGGUUCCCUCUCAAGGAAUACACAUAAUGAUAUAGGCAUCUUAUGCCUAAUAGAAAAGUUAUACCUCAGAGAAAAUUUAUAUUCCUUAUGCUUCUUUAGAAAUGAAUACUUUAAAAUUAGAACCCCUCCUUGUCCUUCUCCCUGACUUAAUUGCACCCUGAACACAGUCACCUAAUAAGCUGAAGAUUGGGUACCCUGAGCACAAUUGGCUGUGGGUUAAAGAUUAUUAGCACAUGAUGUUUUUGAGGAACUUUCCUAGUUUGUUCUAAUCUCUGAUCAAUAUGCCCUUUUCACAAGUGCUGUUAUUCUAAGCAAUGACCCAGAAGAACACCAUUGUUAUCAUUCGAGGUCUCCUGAUAUCAGCUUUGAUGACUGAUUCCCCCAUCCCCCAUGCAAAGAAAGAAUGCAUGUCUGCCCCAAUCCUCAUUCCUCUCUGAAUACCUGUUUGUUUGUUUGUUUGUUUGUUUGUUUUUUGCUUUUUACUAUAAAACUCCCUGCAAUUCUUCCCAAUGGAUAGCACAGUCUUUAAGGCAUUAGCCUGCUCUGUCCCCCUUUGCUUGGCAAAGCAAUAAAGCUAUAUUUCUCUCCUUCACCGCAAACUCUGUAUCCAUGUCUCUAUUUGGCACUGGUAGACAGAGGCCAAAUUUUGGCAACAGGAACACUACAGGAUAUUAUGAAUAUGGGAGAACCAGUAUCAGUAGUAAAGACCUAUAGAUACAGGAGCUGCUUAUGAACAUCAGAAGUCAAAAUAAAAUGAAGGAUUAAAACUGACAAUCAUUUCCCAGUGAUUUAAACUACUACUUUGUAUUACUACAGUUUUUGUUUACUGAAUCUUCUUGUAAGCAUUUGCAUUCAUUUUUUAGUGUUCAGAUUGCCAUAUUGGCCACAAUUUUUCUUCAUCCUGCUCAUGACUUGAUUAUUAAAAGCCUAUUUUUAAAAUUAUUAAAGUAUAGUUGAUUUAUAAUGUUUCAUCAAGUUCUGUUGUACCACUAAGUGACCCAAUCACACACAUUUCCCUGUGCUGUACAGUAGGGUCCCAUUGCCCAUCCAUUGCAAAUAUAACAGUUUGCACCCAAAAAAUGCCCCAAAUGUCCAUCCAUCCUACUCCCUCCCCUUUCCUCCUUGGGAACCCCAAGUCUGAUCUCUUUGGCCAUGACUGUUUCUGUUUGUUGGUUUAUUUAGAUAGGAUCAUCUCUUCCAUAUUUUACAAAUAAUGAUAUCAUGUGGUAUUUGUCUUUUUCUUUCUGGCUUACUUCAUUUAGCAUGAGAGUCUCCAGAUCCAUCCAUGUUGUUGCAAAUGGCAUUAGUUUGUCUUUUUUAUGGCUGAGUAAUAUUCCACUGUAUAUAUGUACCACAUCUUCUUAAUCCAUUCAUCUAUCAAUGGACAUUUAGGUUGUUUCCACAUCUUGGCUACUGUAAAUAGUGCUGCUAUGAACAUUGGGGUGCAUGUAUCUUUUUAAAUGAAAGUUUUGUCUGGAUAUAUGCCCAAGAGUGGGAUUUCUGGGUCAUAUGGUAGUUGUAUAUUUAGUUUUUUGAGGUACCUCCAUACUGUUUUCCAUAGUGGUUGUACCAAUUUACAUUCCCACCAAUGUAAAUAGAGGAUAUUACAAGCCUAAUAACCACAUGGUGAUAUACUGACCAUUUCAAGAAGCUAUCUGCAGUGCCUCAAAGUGGCAAAUUCUGACAAAUUUCAUUUUUGUCAUCAUUUUAGUUUAUUCCAUAAAAUUGAGGGUUUCUGAAUCCCUGCCCAAGGGACUAAAAAAAAGUGUGGAUAAUUUUGGUUUUGCUUGGUGAGAGGGAUGGGAGGAAGCGGGAUUUAAUUGCAUGCCUCUGUGCAUAUCAUAUGAUAAAUUAAUGCAUUUUAACCAAGCCAAAUAGAUCCUAGACAUUGGAUGCACCAAAUUUUGUGAAACUUGUAAACAUUUUACUGUCUAUAGAUUAAAAAGCCAAAUACCAUUGAAACUUCCUGGGCCCUUUAGCAUUAACAUUCCUGCCACUGAGACUCUGUCAGACAAAAUUCUAAUUCAUAGGCUGGAAAACAAUAAAAAUCCAAUACUAAAUACCUAGAAGUUGUCCCUAAAUUGUACUUAUCUCCAAAAUGAUUCCUAAAUUUUUUUUGUACAUCACUUCAGAAAACAUGCCUAUCCUUACAGUUCAGUCACCCCUCUCUCCACCACACACACUCACUGGGUAUUUGAGAUCUCUCCCAGAUCCAUGAACCAUGUCCACAGGGGCUGGGGGUGGGGGGUCUUGGGAGUCUUCUAUUUCUAGCUCUGACUACUUGCUUAAUUCUCAGUCUUGGACCUGCAACUGCUUGCUGAGUAUUAUGUUCAACAUGUAUUUACCAUACCCACUGUAUGCAAAGUACUUUAUAAAAAGGAGAGUCAACAAAUAGAAAACUGUGGGGUAGACAAUAUCUUUGUUUCAUAGGAGGAAUAGCAAGGCACAGGUUAUUAAUAAAAAACAAAUUUAAAUAGGUAGGAAAAACAAAACAAUAAAAAUUGUAUAUCCUAAAUGCAACCAUCUAUUAACUUGAAGUCAGAAACCUCCUUCUAUCACUGAUUGUCAGGAUUCAAUACUUUGAAGUUGAAAUGCUUUAUGGGUUGGCUUGAAAUAACUCUUCUUUUCCUCUCCCAUAGACAGUAUUUUAGAAAUUUAGAUUUUUUUUUUUUUAAAUCUGACUACAUCCAAUGUGGUACUGUGUUAGCUUUUGUGAUGAGAACACAAUCCCAAGGAUGUGGGGGAAUUUGUUAUUUCUUUUUUUUUCUUUUUUUAUAAUGAUUUUUAUUUUUUCUAUUAUAGUUUGUUUAUAGUAUUCUGCCAAUUUUCUACUGUACAGCAAAGUGACCCAGUCACACACACAUAUAUACAUUAUUUUUCUCAUAUUAUCCUCCAUCAUGUUGCAUCACAAGUGACUAGAUAUAGUUCCCUGUGCUAUACAGGAGGACCUCAUUGCUUAUCCAUUCCAAAUGCAACAGUUUGCAUCUACUAACCACAGACUCCCAGUCCAUCCCACUCCCUGCUCCUCUCCCUUGGCAAUCACAAGUCUGUUCUCCAAGUUCAUGUGUUUCUUUUCUGUGCAAAGGCUCUUUUGUGCCAUAUAUCAGAUUCCAGAUAUAAGUGAUAUCACUUCAGUAUUUUUCUUUCUCUUUCUUCACUUAGUAUGAGAGUCUCUAGUUCCAUCCAUAUUGCUGCAAAUGGCAUUAUUUUGUUCUUUUAUAUGUCUGAGUAGUAUUCCAUUAUGUAUCUAUCCACAUCUUCUUAAUUCAUUUAUCUGUCAAUGGACAUUUAGGUUGUUUCUAUGUCUUGGCUAUUGUGAAUAGUGCUGCAAUGAACAUACGUACGCAUGUGUCUUUUUCAAGGAAAGUUUUGUCUGGAUAUAGGCCCAAGAGUGGGAUUGUUGGGUCAUAUGGUAGUUCUAUGGUACCACCAUAUGGGUGCAUGAGUCUCUUUCAAGGAAUGUUUCAUCGGGAUAUAUGCCCAAGAGGGGGAUUGCUAGGUCAUACGGUAGUUCUAUAUUUAGUUUUCUGAGGUGCCCCCAUACUGUUCUCCCUAGCGGUUGUACCAAUUUACAUUUCCACUAACAGUGCAGGAGGGUUCUCUUUUCUCCCCAUCUUCUCAAGCAUUUGUUAUUUGUGGACUUAUUAAUGAUGGCCAAUCUUACUGGUGUGAGGUGGUACCUCAUGGUAGUUUUGAUUUGCAUUUCUCUAAUAAUCAGUGAUGUUGAGCAUUUUUCAUGUGCUUAUUGGCCAUCUGUAUAUCUUCUUUGGAGAAACGUCUAUUCAGGACUUUUGCCCAUUUUUCCAUUGCUUUUUUUGCUGUUGGGUUGUAUAAGUUGUUUGUAUAUUUUAGAGAUUAAGCCCUUGUCAGUUGCAUUGUUUGAAACUAUUUUCUCCCAUUCCAUAGGUUGUCAUUCUGGUUUAUUUUGUUUUUGUUUUUGUUUUUUUUUAUGGUUUCUUUGCUGUGCAAAAGCUUGUCCAUUUGAUUAGGUCCCAUUGGUUUAUUUUUGCUUUUAUUUCUGUUGCCUUGGGAGACUGACCUAAGAAAACAUUUGUACGGUUGAUGUCAAAGAAUGUUUUGCCCAUGUUCUCUUCUAGGAGUUUAAUGGUGUCUUGCCUUACAUUUAAGCCUUUAAGUCAUUUUGAGUUUAUUUUUGUGCAUGGUGUGAGAGUGCGUUCCAAUUUCAUUGAUUUACAUGUGGCUGUCCAGUUUUCCCAGCACUACUUACUGAAAAGACUUUUUCCCAUUUUAUAUUCUAGCCUCCUUUGUCAAAGAUUAACUGACCUGGGUUGUUAUUUCUUACGAAUGGGCCUCUUGGGACACAAACUUCCAAGGCAGCAUCAAACCACAGACACUAGGAUAGAGGUGACAAGCCAAAAGGUGUAGGCUACAUGAGGGGGCAGAUGCUGCUUAACAGGUUUUUUAAAACUGCAAUGAGAGAAUCUUUAUUUUUAGAUUAAUCUGUCUGCAUUCUGAAAACUCAUUGUGACUAAAAUCAAGAGCGUUACACUGCUAGGCUGUUUUUUAAUAGAAACAUAAUAACCACAUUAAGAAAAGUAUCUAUGCUAUAUUACUUUCCUUCUGAUACUAAACCAUGUUAGAGCAAAGUAUACUUUACUGACUUAAAAUAAUACCAAUUUAUUUUCUUACAGUUCUGGAGGUCAGAAGUCCAAAAUCAAGAUGUCAUCAAGGCUGCAUUCCUUCUGGAGGUUCCAGAGGGGAAUUAGUUUUCUUGCCUUUUCUAGCUUCUAGAGACCACUUGCACUCCUUGGCUCAUGGCCCUUUCUCUACCUUCAAGGCCAGCAGCAUAGCAUUUUCCAAUCUCUCGUUCUCUGACUGUGACACCCGUUUAUCUCAAUACGUAUUCUUUUCUGAUGAUGGCCCUCCUGCCUUCCUCUCAUGAGGACCUUGUUACUACAUUGGGCCCACCUUGAUAAGCUUCCCAUCUCCAUCUCCUUAAUUAUAGCUGCAACAUUCCUUUUGCCAUUUAAAGUAACAUAUUUACAAUUCCUCGGGAUUAGGAUGUGGACAGCUUUUUUUUUGGAGGGGGUGUCAUUAUCUGGCUUCCCACAUAUGCCAUUUAUUUCAUUCUGGUCAAAAAACACUUUGGAGUAGUGUUUCCAAAACUGGCAUAACAUUUUCAGUAAGAAAUUGAUAAAUGAUAUUAUUACAUAGAAGAGAAAAAUCAUGAAUCAUUCAUUCACUCAGCAAACAUUUGUGAAGUGUUCAUUCAUGCCAGGUACUGGGCAAGAAGAACUCUGGGGACUCAUAGAGCAUGUGAGGCUGUAGAGUGUAGUGCUUCUGAGCCAGGACCCUGGAGUCUAAUCAUCUGGUUUUGAAUCCUUGCCUCUCCAUUUAUAUACUGUGUGACCUUCGCAAAUUACUUAAUCUCUCUGUGCUUCAGUUUUGCCACUUAUGAAACUGAGAUAAAACUAUAACUGUCCCCCACAGGGUUCUUGUGAAGAUUAAGUGAGACUCUUGAUAAUGCCUUUGGUACAAUGACUGGCAUGUAGAAUUCAGUAUGCUGGCACUGAGGAGGAACGAGAAAACAAUAGUGGAGUGUAAGAGUGCAAAAGGGCCACAGGGAAUUUGGAAAGGCUUCCAGAGCAGGGUCUCGAAAGUUGAGUUUCUGGGAAUCACUGAGGAGAAAGAAGGGAUAGGCAGUGAGAAGCCAUAGUACAGAAUCCGAGAAAUGGCUGAGAAGACUGGGGGACUUUAGCUUAGGAGAUUUAGGGAAAGGUUUAGGAGUUUCAUGAGAACUGCAUUUAAAUCCUGUUGUUUGGGCAGCUGACACAUCAAAAAGAAAUUAGACUUAUUUUACUUCUAUUCCAAAAAAUAUCCAAGCACAAAUGGAAAUGACAAAAACAACAUUCACCUCAAUAUUUGAAAGAGCUUGUGAACAAUAAGGUUUCCUUUAACUGGGUCGAGGAGGGGAAUGAUAAUAAACAUUUCUCUGUGUUCCUCUGACUGUCAGGUACACUGCCUUCUUUAUGGAAUAGUCUGUCUUACAUCCAUUAUCCCUUGUACCCUUGUCAAGUAUUUUAAGGAUUCAGUGGGCCCUAGACUUUAACGGAGACUGAGCUUUAUACAGUCCCAGAGUGUAAAUCAGGAUUGUUUAGAGCCAACUAUGGUAACCACUGCUUUUGUGGUUGAAGAGGUUAGGAAAGUGCAUACAAUACAAUUCCUGCCAAUGAAGCAGGAGAGGGAGGUCUUUGGAAAAGUUUUCCUUACCUCCUCAAAAGAUAAAUGGGGAAAAAGAGAGCUCUCCAUUCCUCUUCCAGCUAUAAGACGUCAAGCCAAUAUCUGAGGAAGGUAGAACAAGAAGACAGAAAGGGUCUGGAUCCUUGAUGAAAUGGACUACCUGAUAAAAUACAUGACCCUGGAAUCAUUGUAAACUAUGGCAGUUUAUUAUAUAUUUGUGCAAUAUAUUAAAAUACACUCGGGAGUUCCCAUCGUGGCUCAGUGGUUAACAAAUCUAACUAGGAACCAUGAGGUUGUGGGUUCGAUCCCUGGCCUUGCUCAUGGGUUAAGGAUCCGGCAUUGCCAUGAGCUGUGGUGUAGGCUACAGAUGCAGCUCGGAUCUGGCAUUGCUAUGGCUGUGGCGUAGGCCAGCGGCUGUAGCUCCAAUUAGACCCCUAGCCUAGGAACCUCCAUAUGCCAUGGGUACAACCUUAAAAGACCAAAAAAAAAAGGCAAAAAAAAAAAAAA
ensembl:lncRNA